CAGUCGCCGCGGUAAUACGAAGGGUGCAAGCGUUAAUCGGAAUUACUGGGCGUAAAGCGUGCGCAGGCGGUUAUGUAAGACAGUUGUGAAAUCCCCGGGCUCAACCUGGGAACUGCAUCUGUGACUGCAUAGCUAGAGUACGGUAGAAGGGGGUGGAAUUCCGCGUGUAGCAGUGAAAUGCGUAGAUAUGCGGAGGAACACCGAUGGCGAAGGCAAUCCCCUGGACCUGUACUGACGCUCAUGCACGAAAGCGUGGGGAGCAAACAGUAUUAGAUACCCCUGUAGUCCCUGUCUCUUAUAC
rnacentral:rRNA from 1 species